rnacentral:rRNA from 1 species
GACGAACGCUGGCGGCGCGCUUAACACAUGCAAGUCGAGCGAAGCGGCGGACGGGUGAGUAACACGUGAGUAACCUGCCUUAGACAUUGGGAUAGCCUCGGGAAAACGGGAUUAAUACCAAAUGGUCUAAGAUGGACUCGCGUCCCAUUAGCUAGUUGGUGAGGUAACGGCCCACCAAGGCGACGGUGGGUAGCCGGCCUGAGAGGGUGAGCGGCCACAUGUGAGAUGAUGGACGGGCCAAAAUCUGCGGGGAGGAGCAGUAGGGGAUAUUGGGCAAGGGAGGGGACUCUGAUGCAGAAAAGCGACGGGAACAUAGAAGGCUUUCGAAACGUAAAGUGCUGUUAUAUGAGGAUGGGUACAAUAUGAAAAAGCCCCGGCUAACUACGUGCCAGCAGCCGCGGUAAUAC